rnacentral:rRNA from 1 species
GGGUAUUGCCUAGUACGGCGAGUGAAGCGGCAACAGCUCAAAUUUGAAAUCUGGCUCUCGGGCCCGAGUUGUAAUUUGUAGAGGAUACUUUUGAUGCGGUGCCUUCCGAGUUCCCUGGAACGGGACGCCAUAGAGGGUGAGAGCCCCGUCUGGUUGGAUGCCAAAUCUCUGUAAAGUUCCUUCAACGAGUCGAGUAGUUUGGGAAUGCUGCUCUAAAUGGGAGGUAUAUGUCUUCUAAAGCUAAAUACCGGCCAGAGACCGAUAGCGCACAAGUAGAGUGAUCGAAAGAUGAAAAGCACUUUGAAAAGAGAGUUAAAAAGUACGUGAAAUUGUUGAAAGGGAAGCGUUUAUGACCAGACUUGGGCUUGGUUAAUCAUCUGGGGUUCUCCCCAGUGCACUUUUCCAGUCCAGGCCAGCAUCAGUUUUCCCCGGGGGAUAAAGGCGGCGGGAAUGUGGCUCUCUUCGGGGAGUGUUAUAGCCCACCGUGUAAUACCCUGGGGGGGACUGAGGUUCGCGCAUCUGCAAGGAUGCUGGCGUAAUGGUCAUCAACGACCCGUCUUGAACCACGGGGACCCACA